GACGAACGCUGGCGGCGUGCCUAAUACAUGCAAGUCGAACGCUGAAGGAGGAGCUUGCUUCUCUGGAUGAGUUGCGAACGGGUGAGUAACGCGUAGGUAACCUGCCUGGUAGCGGGGGAUAACUAUUGGAAACGAUAGCUAAUACCGCAUAAGAGUAGAUGUCGCAUGACAUUUGCUUAAAAGGUGCAAUUGCAUCACUACCAGAUGGACCUGCGUUGUAUUAGCUAGUUGGUGAGGUAACGGCUCACCAAGGCAACGAUACAUAGCCGACCUGAGAGGGGGAUCGGCCACACUGGGACUGAGACACGGCCCAGACUCCUACGGGGGGCAGCAGUAGGGAAUCUUCGGCAAUGGACGGAAGUCUGACCGAGCAACGCCGCGUGAGUGAAGAAGGUUUUCGGAUCGUAAAGCUCUGUUGUAAGAGAAGAACGAGUGUGAGAGUGGAAAGUUCACACUGUGACGGUAUCUUACCAGAAAGAGACGGCUAACUACGUG
rnacentral:rRNA from 1 species